GCUGCACUGUCUUCUGUCUUUAUUGCCGAUGUAUCAUGUUGGAUCCAUCACAGUGUCAGAAGAUUUUCUGAGCAGUACUUAAAUUGCAGAUGGGGAACGCUGCAUAGUUUCAUCAUAACGUGUCACCAACUAGAACUGCAUCCCUUGUCAUUCGAUGGUUCAGGAAGUCGAAUGUCAGAGUUUGCAGAGUUUAGUUAAACAAGAAACACAGUUGCUCUACACAAACAGUACGUUGUGAAUAGUUUCAGUUGUGACAACAUUACGCAGGCUUAGAUGUCCAUAUCUAUCAGGAAAACAUCAAGGCUACUGGUCCAUACUCCUUUAAGCAGGUGCAGGAUGUGUACUUUGCAAUAAUUCUCUCUCUCUCUCUCUUGCACUUACCAUCACUUGGUGAAACCUGUGACGGUGGUGUGGGCCUUCUUGUCGGUGUGCUUGGCGAAGCGGCUGUUGAAAAAUAAAUAAAUAUGCUAUAAAAGGCUUGCAAACAGGUAUUAUAAUAAACUCACUUUGCAUUGCACGUGUGAAUACUGAGCAACAGACUUGUGGAGCAAUUUUAACAUGUGCCUGAGAAAAACUACUCAGUGUUUUCAUCACCAUGGAAUGAGCUCAACACAGAAAGCACUGAGUCUAUGCAUUGAUGUACAAAAAGAAAAGAUAUCUAAACCACGCAACAAAGCUUUCUUGCAUGGAGGUUGGGUUGUUAUGAACUCGUAACGAGCUGCACAAACAGUAGAGGAGUAAGGACGGAAACA
rnacentral:lncRNA from 1 species